rnacentral:rRNA from 1 species
ACUGCUCUCAAAACUGUGUAUCUUGAGUAGUGCAGAGGUAGGCGGAAUUCCCGGUGUAGCGGUGGAAUGCGUAGAUAUCGGGAGGAACACCAGUGGCGAAGGCGGCCUACUGGGCACCAACUGACGCUGAGGCUCGAAAGUGUGGGUAGCAAACAGGAUUAGAUACCCUGGUAGUCCACACCGUAAACGAUGAUUACUAGGUGUUGGAGGAUAGACCCCUUCAGUGCCGCAGUUAACACAAUAAGUAAUCCACCUGGGGAGUACGACCGCAAGGUUGAAACUCAAAGGAAUUGACGGGGGCCCGCACAAGCAGUGGAGUAUGUGGUUUAAUUCGACGCAACGCGAAGAACCUUACCAAGUCUUGACAUCCUCUGGCGAGUACAGAAAUGUGCUUUUCCUUCGGGACAGAGAGGCAGGUGGUGCAUGGUUGUCGUCAGCUCGUGUCGUGAGAUGUUGGGUUAAGUCCCGCAACGAGCGCAACCCUUAUGGAUAGUUACUACGCAAGAGGACUCUAUUCAGACUGCCGUUGACAAAACGGAGGAAGGUGGGGAUGACGUCAAAUCAUCAUGCCCUUUAUGACUUGGGCUACACACGUACUACAAUGGCGUUCAACAAAGAGAAGCGAAGCCGCGAGGCAGAGCAAAACUCAAAAACAACGUCCCAGUUCAGAUUGCAGGCUGCAACUCGCCUGCAUGAAGUCGGAAUUGCUAGUAAUCGCAGAUCAGCAUGCUGCGGUGAAUACGUUCCCGGGCCUUGUACACACCGCCCGUCACACCAUGAGAGCCGGGGGGACCCGAAGUCGGCAGUCUAACCGCAAGGAGGACGCCGCCGAAGGUAAAACUGGUGAUUGGGGUGAAGUCGUAACAAAGGUAGCCGUAGCC